AAGAGAUCCAGAGGCCCACCCUAGAAGGCCCUGCAGACCCAGACCUGGAGUACUUCUCUGAGAUAUGGAGGUUAUAGCUUCAAGCUUAUCAGAUAGACAGCAUCAUUGAGGCUAGGUUUUUCUACUCAGAGUUCUGGCAAUGCAAGAAUAGAGAACCUGUUGAACUGAAUGUAGUCAUGCUGUGGAUGAUGGAAAGGCUAAAGUUCAAAUUCACAGACUCAAAGCUUUCCUGAAGCAAGCGAGUAAGGCCAAGUAAUGACCUGAUGAAGUGGAGACUGUCAGYGUCUCACCCACUGCU